AUUUGGAAGUCUAAGAUUCCACUAAAAGUUAAAAUCUUUAUGUGGUAUCUUCGUAGGGUUGUGCUAACCAAAGACAAUCUUGCACGGCGCAGCUGGCCAGGAAGUAAGAAGUGUUGCUUUUGUGCUCAUGACGAGACAAUCAAACACCUAUUUUUCCAAUGCAAGUUUGCACGUUCUACAUGGUCAGUCAUCCAAAUAGCGUCAAAUUUGUAUCCGCCAACGAGUAUUGCCAAUAUAUUUGGUCAUUGGUUGGACGGAAUUUCAAAUAGUUUCAAAACGCUAAUAAGGGUGGGGCGUAUGCCACAAAAAUGCUUCUCCUCUGCAGGUUAUUUUCCGUUGUACGCACUCGCUUCAUACGUGGUCUACGCUACAACAGGCGGAGCACCAACCGCUGUUCAAGGCGGUGUGUACGCGGUUGGAGCAGGCGGCUAUGGAGGUUUUUUCCCAACAUGGGUGGCAGCAUAA
rnacentral:rRNA from 1 species